UGUAAACAUCCUUGACUGGAAGCUGAAAGGGCUGGAAGGAGCUUUCAGUCGGAUGUUUACA
rnacentral:pre_miRNA from 1 species